CCCUUAGAUGUUCUGGGCCGCACGCGCGCUACACUGAUGCAUUCAACGAGUUUUUCCUGGUCCGAGAGGAAUGGGUAACCUUUUGAAAGUGCAUCGUGCUAGGGAUAGACUAUUGCAAUUAUUGGUCUUCAACGAGGAAUUCCUAGUAGACGUAGUUCAUCAGACUGCAUCGAUUACGUCCCUGCCCUUUGUACACACCGCCCGUCGCUCCUACCGAUUGGAUGAUCCGGUGAGCCAUUCGGACUUUCAUCAUGCUGGUUUCCAGUUUUGAUGAAGGAAAGUCUUGCGAACCUUAUCAUUUAGAGGAAGGAGAAGUCGUAACA
rnacentral:rRNA from 1 species